CUUCACACUUGUCCUGCUUGGUCCCCUGAGAGGAGAAUGAGUAACUCUGACAGAAAAUUGCAGAGAGACCAGCAAUAUUAUAUGAUGAUCAAUUCUGAUGGACAUGACUCCUUCCAACAAUGAGAUGAUUGAGGCCAGUCCCAGUGAUCUUGUGAUGAAGAGAGCCAUCUACACCCAGAGAGAGGACUAUGGGAACCAAGUAUGGAUCACAACAUAAUAGGCUCACUUUUUUUGUUGUUGUUUGCUUACAUUUUGUUUUCUUAAUCAUUUUCUUUCCUUUCUGAUCUGAUUUUUUAAUGUAGCAAAAUAAUUGUAUAAAUAUAUUUACAAAUAUUGGAUUUAA